GAUGAACGCUGGCGGCGUGCCUAAUACAUGCAAGUCGAGCGAACAGACGAGGAGCUUGCUCCUCUGACGUUAGCGGCGGACGGGUGAGUAACACGUGGAUAACCUACCUAUAAGACUGGGAUAACUUCGGGACACCGGAGCUAAUACCGGAUAAUAUAUUGAACCGCAUGGUUCAAUAGUGAAAGACGGUUUUGCUGUCACUUAUAGAUGGAUCCGCGCCGCAUUGGCUAGUUGGUAAGGUAACGGCUUACCAAGGCAACGAUGCGUAGCCGACCUGAGAGGCUGAUCGGCCACACUGGAACUGAGACACGGUCCAGACUCCUACGGGAGGCAGCAGUAGGGAAUCUUCCGCAAUGGGCGAAAGCCUGACGGAGCAACGCCGCGUGAGUGAUGAAGGUCUUCGGAUCGUAAAACUCUGUUAUUAGGGAAGAACAAAUGUGUAAGUAAAUAUGCACGUCUUGACGGUACCUAAUCAGAAAGCCACGGCUAACUACGUG
rnacentral:rRNA from 1 species